rnacentral:lncRNA from 1 species
GCUGGAGUCGGAGAUUUAUUGGGAGUAGACUUCGAAGCUGGAGCCUUUUUGGACUUUUUCUUCAUGUCGGGAGAGGGUCCCAGAUCUGAGAGGGUGGAGAGCAACCGACGUUGGAUUAGACGCCGGUGAGCAGCGCUUAGGUGAGACACGGCGGAGGGAGGAAGUUGCAAUUUUGGUCGCAUUUUAGAGGAGAUAGAAAGUAGCUG